AUGCUAAGCUACUUCACCACCAACAGCCCGGUUAUUUUCCGCCUCUCCAUGAGCAGGAAGAUGAAAGAUGCCCUUGAAAUGAUAGAUGAACUGGUUGUGGAGAUGAAUAAUUUUCACUUCCUGCAACAUGCCGAGGCACCAACCAUCGAUCAUCCACAAACGCACUCUCAUGUCAAUGAAUCAGAGAUAGUCGGCAGGCAAAAUGACAAGGAACAAGUAGUGAAGGUAUUGCUCCAUCACUCUGACAACAACAAUGAUGAUAAUAGUGAUGUCAUGGUGCUCCCCAUUGUUGGUAUGGGGGGAAUUGGUAAGACCACCCUAGCCCAACUUGUGCACAGUGAUCAGAGGGUGAAGCAUCAUUUUGAGUUGGUCUUAUGGGUCCGUGUCUCUGACAAGUUCGUUGUUGAAGAAAUUGUCCGAUCUGUAAUAGAAGUGGCCACCAUGAAGAAGUGUGAUUUGACUCAGAUGGAGGCACUGCAGAAGGAACUUUGUAGUGUUUUGGGCAACAGAAGGUACCUCCUAGUGCUGGAUGAUGUUUGGAAUGAAGAUGGACAAAAGUGGGAUGAUUUGAAAUCAUUGCUAUUCUCAAAUGUUGGCUCAGGUAGUGCUAUAAUUGUGACAAGCCGCAGCGGUCAAGUUGCGUCUAUCAUGGGCACACUUCCCCCACAUCAGAUAUCAUGUCUGAAUGAGGAUCAAUCAUGGGAACUUUUUCACAGAAUUGCAUUUGGAAGGGAAGUGGAGAAGAAAGAGGAAUUGAUUUCAAUGGCUAAGAGUAUUGUGCACAAGUGUGAGGGAUUGCCUCUUGCUAUCAAGACUAUAGCAGCUUUACUUCGUUCGAAGAAUCACAGUCAAUGGUUUUCUGUUGUGGAUAGUGAUGUCUGGAGGAUUAACAUACUCGCAACUACUGGGAUUGUACCUGCACUACAACUGAGUUAUAAUCACUUGUCAUCAGAAGAGAAAAUAUGCUUUUCCCUCUGUGCUAUUUUCCCCAAGGAUAGUCAGAUGGACAAGGACAUGUUAAUCCAGCUUUGGAUGGCAAAUGACUUUAUUGCAUCAGAAACAAGGGGCCAACAAAUUUUCAAUGUGCUAGUUUCGAGAUGUUUUCUCCAAGAUGUGGAGAUUCAAAGGGAGUACUUCAUCCACAGAGUAACUACUUGCAAGAUGCAUGAUCUUGCUGACUCUGUAAGCGGAAACGAUUUCACCACUCUGCAAGUAUCUUCAUCAUGUCAGGAAAUUCUGCAACGAUCCACAGAUACCAGUUCAUUACAAAAUGAGGUUUGA
rnacentral:rRNA from 1 species